rnacentral:lncRNA from 1 species
UAGCAAUGAUUUUUGGCUCGUCUAACCUCUGUUAACACUCCAUAGGAAGACGAUAGCAAUGGAUGGCCAAGAACCCGACCUCUCAUAUCGUCUAGCUCUCUGUUCAAUCUAGCCAGAAAUUCAUAUGCUAUUUCGUUAUCCAGUCGCUUUUUGUACUGCAUAUUUCCAUGGGAAAUCCAACUCUUCUUCGAUGCUCAAGUCCAAUUCUUGCCAGAGGUUCAUCAUCUCCAUAUAAUAGUCGGUGACCUCUCUUUUUCCUUGUUUCGCUUCCACAAUUUGGCUUCAAUUUUGAAGAGUUGGAUGAGUCUUCUGCGUCGAAGUACAUCUCUCGAGCAGCUUCUCAUUUGUCUUUUGCAGUCGACAUGAACAGAUAAGCUUUACCAAUUGAGGGUUUCAUGGAGUUCACUGUUAUAUA